rnacentral:rRNA from 1 species
AUUGAACGCUGGCGGCAGGCCUAACACAUGCAAGUCGAACGAGUGGCGGACGGGUGAGUAAUGUCUGGGAAACUGCCCGAUGGAGGGGGAUAACUACUGGAAACGGUAGCUAAUACCGCAUACCAUCGGAUGUGCCCAGAUGGGAUUAGCUAGUAGGUGGGGUAACGGCUCACCUAGGCGACGAUCCCUAGCUGGUCUGAGAGGAUGACCAGCCACACGGGAAAUGAGACACGGGCCAGACUCCUACGGGAGGCAGGAGUGGGGAAAAUUGCACAAUGGGCGGAAGCCUGAUGCAGACAUGCCGCGUGUAUGAAGAAGGGCUUCGGGUUGGAAAGUAAUUUCAGCGAGGAGGCGUUACUCGCAGAAGAAGGAACGGCUAACUCCGUGCCAGCAGCCGCGGUAAUAC